rnacentral:ncRNA from 1 species
CGGGAGCUUUCCCGUUAAGGAAUGUGGCUUCAUUGGCAAGCCGAACCUGGAG